rnacentral:misc_RNA from 1 species
UCCGGUUCAUCACCAGCAGUCUCCUUAGAGUCCCCAACUAAAUGAUGGCAACUAAGGAUAAGGGUUGCGCUCGUUACGGGACUUAACCCAACAUCUCACAACACGAGCUGACGACAGCCAUGCAGCACCUGUCUUGUCGUUCCUUUCGGCACUCCCGUAUCUCUACAGGAUUCGACAGAUGUCAAGGGUAGGUAAGGUUCUUCGCGUUGCAUCGAAUUAAACCACAUGCUCCACCGCUUGUGCGGGCCCCCGUCAAUUCCUUUGAGUUUUAAUCUUGCGACCGUACUCCCCAGGCGGAAAACUUAUCGCGUUAGCUUCGAUACUAAUAGGUCUAAGCCUACCAACAUCUAGUUUUCAUCGUUUACAGCGUGGACUAC